ACGGCCGUACCAUGCUGAAUAUACCGGUUCUCGUUAGAUCACCGAAGUCAAACAUCAUUGGGCGCGGUCAGUACUUGGGUGGGUGACCACCUGGAAACACCGCGUGCCGUU
rnacentral:rRNA from 1 species